GGGCGUAUAGCUCAGCUGGUUAGAGCACAGUCCUGAUAAGACUGAGGUCCCAAGUUCGAUCCUUGGUGCGCCCA
rnacentral:tRNA from 1 species